rnacentral:tRNA from 1 species
AUUAAAGUGGCAGAGAAAAAUGUAAGGAAUUUAAGCUUCCUCAAUGAACUAAUGUUCCUUUAAUA